rnacentral:lncRNA from 1 species
GUUUAUAGUGGGGCCCUCCAGACACCCGAUCCCGUGUCUGAGCUCCAUUACCACAGCUCUGGCCGCUGGCUGAUUCGCCUUUCCUGAAAGGAGAGAGUGGAGGAACAUUUGCAAAACCUUGAGACGUGCUAUCUAGCCAGGGUCCUUUCGAAGAGUCCGUCCAGCCUGAGACUCUGAUUGUGGGAAUCCCAGAGUGCACGCGGCCAGCAUGGAGUGGCUUCAGCAAUCUUGGAAACAUCUGUAACCAGGAGUUAGAACAAACCC